rnacentral:lncRNA from 1 species
CUAGUACCCAUGAGGAUGAGGGUUCAAUCCCUGGCCUUGCUCAGGGGGUUGGGGAUCUGGUGUUGCAGUGACCUGUGGUGUAGGUCCCAGGUGCAGCUCAGAUCCCAUGUCGUGUUGCUGCGGCUGUGGUGUAGGCCAGCAACUGUAGCUCCCAUUCAACCCCUAGCCUGGGCACUUCCAUAUGUCAUGGGUGCGGCCCUCAAAAGCCGAAAAAGAAAAUUGUUCCUCUUGGGGUUCCCAUGGUGGUGCCGUGGAAACAAAUAUGACUAGUAUCCAUGAGGAUGCAGGGUCGAUCCCUGGCCUCGCUCAGUGGGUUGGGCAUCUGGUGUUGCUGGGAGCUGUGGUGUAGGUCACAGACACAGCUCAGAUCUGGCGUUGCAGUGGCUGUGGGGCAGCCUGGCAGCUGUAGCUCCGAUUUGACCUCUAGCCUGGGAACUUCCACAUGCCAUGGGUGCGGUCCUAAAAAACAAACAACAAGAAAAAAAUUGUCUCCUAAACAUGGCCCGUGUCAGGCUCCCCUACUCCCUCCGCACUCACCCCAUGUCUUCUAUGCUGUUUUCCUCCAAGUAACCAAAGGCUGGCGCCAUGCCUUGAUUGGCCAGCUGGCUGGGAGGACAAGGAGAGCAGCCGAUGGCUGUGAAGACAAACCUACCUCCCUGCCGGCUGGGGACCAGGGCUCAGCUUGAGGGAAGGACGGCGCCAGGACCCCUGGGCUGUCAGAGUGGAGGGAGCCCUGGGGGGGCAGUUGUGGGGGGGCGCACCAAGGAAAAAGCUGCUCUUGCUGCGGAGUCUGGAGUGUUUUGGAAGCUCUUGGGGCUCUGUGUGCCUGGAGGUUUCAGCGGGGGGCAGAGAGAGGGGUUUACUGUUGGUGUGGCCAGGGAGCUGCCUGGAAUGAACUUGAGGGUUUCCACCAAAAGAAAACCUCUUCUUCAGGGCUGCCAUUUGAACUUGUUCGCUACAGCCGGGGAGGAAACAGGAAGUGGAAAAAAAAAGUCAGUGUCCUUUAAGGUUAAGUUUUGGUCCCAGAGAAUUGAAUUACGAAAUGCACACUUGAUUGGCUUGUACUCAGUUUGGACCUGGAAAGCUCCACAGUUGGGAUGAAAGAAAGGAAGGGAGGUGUCUGCUGUCUCCUUUUCAAAAGAGCCAUUUCCAAAGGGACCACCAAGGAGACUUUGAAGAGACGUCACUAACCUGGAGGCUGCCCCUGAAAUGCACACCAAUAGGUAGCUGGGCUGUACAUAAGUGGGCGUAGACCCUUUGACAUCAAGUGUUUAAGAGGACAGAAGGAUCCUACAGGGAACCCAGGCUCUACUCUAAGGCAGUCAAUCCACCCCACCCUCAAACUUCCAGGUCCUGGCAUGGGAUUGGUCCUGGUGUGGGAUGAAGCCAAGAGCCCCUUGGGCAAGUUUUCAAAGGAUCUGAGGAAGCUGAGCACCAAAUACCCCUACCCAGAGCUGGAGCAGAUGACAGCCUGGGAAUGGGCCAGGAAUGUCCCCACCCAAAAAUGUGUCUCCCAACCUGCUCCAUGGCCUCCCACCUGACCCAUUUACCUAUGGCCCACAGCCUGGCUUCUCUGCUAAACCAGUUGGGUCAUUCACAAAUAUUGGAUCCACUGUAGUAAAUAGCAACAUUUGACAAGUAGAGGGACUGGGGGCUCAUGUUCUUCAGCCCAACAACCUGAGUACCAGGUGUAAAAGCAUGUCUCAUACUGAAUUUGGCCACACAAGCACACAUUUAUGAGCAAGUACACGUUAGAUAUUGCCAAGCAGGCCCCCAAACUUCUGCUCUGGAACUCCAUUAAGUCCUAGGUCUGGUCCUGUUAGAUGUUUCUUGCAUGAAAGAUUUACCCAAGACAGAUGCAGCAGUAUCUGUGCUGAAUUCAGCGUAGAUUCUAGAGGUAGGUAGGCAACAAAAGUCUCCACUGAUAGGUCAUGCACAAGAGCAGGUGGAAAUUUUGAACCUAGAGGACCUUCUACAGACUACAGGACCCCCUGAAUUCUAUGCCCUUGUUCUACAAGAGCGACAGUGCCCGGAUUGUAUCCCCAGCCAAUCAACACAUUGCUUACACACUGCACUCACCAAUCAAAAGUCAUUCUAUGCCCCUUAUGCAAAAGAGCAAGCCCUCCAGGACCUAUAGGAAAUAAAGACAACUGAAAUGCUUGUAGUUGCCCCUAUGAAUUGUGGGCUUUCGAAUACUAAUCACCCAUCCUGGGAGUCUGUACUCUUUUUUAACGGACUGUCCUUGAGUAUAGAUUAAAAGUCACAUGGUCUAUCUGAAGCAUUUUGAAGUAAACUGUAAGUAAUUUAAUGCCAGUUAAAGAUGUGGCUUUGGAAGCAAGCUUUAGCAAUUGGGGAUGGGCCCUCUUCCUAAGGAAAGUACAGAGGCAUGAUGUGUAAUUUAAAGAAGAUUCUUUCAAUACUUUGGACUAUGACCCUGCCCCAGACUUGACAAAUGUUCACUUAAAUCUUGUGGCGAUUUCACAAGCGGUGGUUGUGCCCAAAAAAAGACUACUGAGAAGUUUACUUUGAGUUUAAAUAACUAUGGUUCAAUUUACUAAACUGACAAAGUCUUAACCCCGUUCUCUCUUAAGCUUUGAAAUCUGCUAACAAAUCUUUCUCUGUUUAUACAGAGCAGAUUUUAGCAACCGCUUCUAAGAGGGCUUUGAAUGACAUUUGGUCCUAUUUACAAAUGCAAGUAAUUAAUUAAGCAUGCCUCAAACAAUUCAUGGCGUAUUUAUAAAUUUAAUGGUUUGAGUGAGUGGUUUUCCUUGCAGGGGUGGGGGAGGGGAGGGAGGGACUAGAGGAGACACAGAGUCAAAGGGGAGGGAUGCUUCUGGGAUCCCAGUAACAUUAGAUUUCUUGUUUUCCUCUCUCUCUCUCUUUUUUUUUUUAACGGCCACACCAGCAGCAUAUGGCUAGGGGUCUAAUCAGAGCUGCAGCUGAGCCCACCCCACAGCCCCGGCGACACCAGAUUCAAGCCACAUCUUCGACCCACACAGCUUCAGAGCUGGAUCCUCAACCCACUGAGCAAGGCCAGGGAUCAAACCUGAAUCCUCAUGGACACGAUGUCGGGUCCUUAACCUACUGAGCUGCAACAGGAACUCCCACAUUAUGUUUCUUGAUCUGGUUCAGGCUCACUCUGGGGACUUUUCUGAGCUUCUGGUACAUCUCAAAAGAAUUCUUAGUCUUCUGUUAGAUUUCCUUUUUAACUCCCUGGGUACCUAACUAAUUCUUUUACAUCUAGUCAAUUAAAUGUGUGUGUGUGGGGAACCUAAAAUUCUCUUAACUAUUCUAUUACUGAGCAUAAACUUAGUAAGAUUUCAACUUAAACCCACACAUGGAAAUUAAUUAUUCAAUUACAUUUUAAAUUAUAAUGAUUAGACUCUCAUUUUAAUAGGCAAAAUUAUCUUAGCAUUACAAGUAAGAAUAUAACAGAAAAAUAAAAUACUAUGGUUUUCAUUCCCAUAAGGCUGUCCAAAUGUAACCCAAAUCUUUCUGGAGUUCAGAGAUGUGUAGCCAUUAUUCUGGUGAACUGGGGCUCCCGACCCACAGGGUUGCAGUUAUGAGCCCAACUAGCUGAGUGAUUAGAGUAGGAAAUUUCUCCUGGGACAUUGGUUAAGUUCUUGUUGGUGCCCCAGAGGCAUCCCUGAAUCCUGUUUCCAGGUUCUGUCAUGGAC